UACAGAGGUCUCAAGCGUUGUUCGGAUUCAUUGGGCGUAAAGGGUGCGUAGGCGGCGAGGCAAGUCAGGUGUGAAAUCUCGGGGCUCAACUCCGAAACUGCACUUGAUACUGCCUUGCUAGAGUACUGGAGAGGAGAUUGGAAUUUACGGUGUAGCAGUGAAAUGCGUAGAUAUCGUAAUGAAGACCAGUGGCGAAGGCGAAUCUCUGGACAGUUACUGACGCUGAGGCACGAAGGCCAGGGGAGCAAACGGG
rnacentral:rRNA from 1 species